rnacentral:lncRNA from 1 species
CAGUAAUGUCUAAUAGUAUGUAAUGAUAAUCCUGUAAAAUGGAAGGAAUAAACCUCUUAGGUAUAGUUACUAUGUGAUAUAAUUCUUCUAUCAUGAGUUCCGACAAGAUGGAGGUUAUGAAAAAUUCGUCAAACUCCAUUAUCAGUCAUAUAUAAGAUUUUUUUAACUCCAGUUUAUUCUGUGAAAUCUUAUGAAAUUUUUUUUUCUAAUGUUCACAUUACCAUGGCCAUGAUCUUUAGAAUUCAGUCUCAUAAAUCAUAUAGAACUUCUUAUCUACCAAGAUUGAUAGGUCCCAUCUAGAUGCAUACUCUACUUCUACAACGAACCUACUAUAGACAAUCUACACCCCAA